rnacentral:rRNA from 1 species
GAUGAACGCUGGCGGCGUGCCUAAUACAUGCAAGUCGAGCGAACAGACGAGGAGCUUGCUCCUUUGACGUUAGCGGCGGACGGGUGAGUAACACGUAGGUAACCUACCUAUAAGACUGGGAUAACUUCGGGAAACCGGAGCUAAUACCGGAUAAUAUUUCGAACCGCAUGGUUCGAUAGUGAAAGAUGGCUUUGCUAUCACUUAUGGAUGGACCUGCGCCGUAUUAGCUAGUUGGUAAGGUAACGGCUUACCAAGGCAACGAUACGUAGCCGACCUGAGAGGGUGAUCGGCCACACUGGAACUGAGACACGGUCCAGACUCCUACGGGAGGCAGCAGUAGGGAAUCUUCCGCAAUGGGCGAAAGCCUGACGGAGCAACGCCGCGUGAGUGAUGAAGGUCUUCGGAUCGUAAAACUCUGUUAUUAGGGAAGAACAAACGUGUAAGUAACUGUGCACGUCUUGACGGUACCUAAUCAGAAAGCCACGGCUAACUACGUG